rnacentral:rRNA from 1 species
CCUACGGGAGGCAGCAGUGGGGAAUAUUGCACAAUGGGGGAAACCCUGAUGCAGCGACGCUGCGUGAGCGAUGAAGUAUUUCGGUAUGUAAAGCUCUAUCAGCAGGGAAGAAAAUGACGGUACCUGACUAAGAAGCCCCGGCUAACUACGUGCCAGCAGCCGCGGUAAUACGUAGGGGGCAAGCGUUAUCCGGAUUUACUGGGUGUAAAGGGAGCGUAGACGGUCCUGCAAGCCAGAUGUGAAAGCCCGGGGCCCAACCCCGGGACUGCUCUUGGUACUGCGUGGCUAGAGUGCAGGAGGGGCAGGCGGAAUUCCUGGUGUAGCGGUGAAAUGCGUAGAUAUCACGCAGAACCCCGAUUGCGAAGGCAGCAUACCGGUGCACAACUGACGCUCAGGCACGAAAGCGUGGGUAUCGAACAGGAUUAGAUACCCCAGUAGUC